GAACUUAAAUGCUUAGGUUCAAUACUAAAGAUGUGGUAGUGUAAAUAUAUGAGUCUUUAUAAAAUUGUUUAUUAUUAUUAUUUUUAUUGUUAAUUAGCUAAUUUAGAGAAUUAUUAUACUUGUAUACAUAGUUAUAGUUUUCCAUGUAUGAAUGUCCCAAUAGAGUGCCAGCAGGCGUGGUUAGACUGAACAUUUACUUUAGUUUAUUUCUAUUUUUAUCUUAACUUUUAUAUGGUACAUAACUGGUAAAAUAGGUAGUGUGUCAGAAUCUGUUAAUUGUUGUUAGUCACUUAAAAGACAAGGAUUAGAUACCCUUUUAUGUGUGAUGAAAAUUAUAAAGAUAAUUUAGUUUAAAAUUCAAAUAAUUUGGCGGUAAGAAAAGAACUCAGAGAAACCUGAGUAUUAAUUGGAUGAUCCACCAUUAUGUUUUCUUAGUAUGUUUGUUACCUGUAUGUCUGUUUAGGUUAUCGUUAGAUCUUUAGCCUUUCAAUUUUUUAAUUCAAAUUCAGGUCGAUAUAGGGAUUGUUACUAAGUUUUCUUGGGUUGCAAUUAAGUUUAUUAGUGGUUUGGUUAAUUCAAGCCUAAUUUGGAUUUGAAAGUAAACACUUUUGUAAAUGUGUUGAAUUGAUCUUUUUUUAAGUACAAAUCGCCCGUCACCUCUGUCACAAAAAAGACUGAGUAAGUCGAAACAAAGUAGGUUGGCUGGAAGGGUAACCUGUAUG
rnacentral:ncRNA from 1 species